AAAGUUGGCACAGUCCAGUUACUCAUCCUUUCCAGAAUAAUGUGCAAAAAGGCAACUACAGGAGGUUUCACUACUGGCUACUAAAAUUUUCUCUGCAAUACAUCUGUAUUAUAAUUACUUGAAAUUCAACAAUGGCAUCGAACAAAAAUUGCAUUGUGAACCGAAACAAGUGUUUGCAGAUGGAGAAUCACGUUAUGCCCAUAAAUUCAAGCAUGAAUGCUGAUAAUCUAUCAAAUUCUAAUUUGGAGAAGGAUAUAGUUAUUAGAAAUCCAGAAAGUUGUGAAUUAGCUCGACGUUGGUUUCUUACAAUGCAAAAUGGUAUAGUCAAAAUUUCAGAAGUGGAAUUUUAUAUUCCUUCUAGUUUAUAUAAAUCCCUUAUCAAUCCA
rnacentral:lncRNA from 1 species